rnacentral:rRNA from 1 species
AAUAGAUACCCUGGUAGUCCACGCCGUAAACGAUGAGUGCUAAGUGUUAGAGGGUUUCCGCCCUUUAGUGCUGCAGCUAACGCAUUAAGCACUCCGCCUGGGGAGUACGGCCGCAAGGCUGAAACUCAAAGGAAUUGACGGGGGCCCGCACAAGCGGUGGAGCAUGUGGUUUAAUUCGAAGCAACGCGAAGAACCUUACCAGGUCUUGACAUCCUCUGCCGACCCUAGAGAUAGGGCGUUCCCCUUCGGGGGACAGAGUGACAGGUGGUGCAUGGUUGUCGUCAGCUCGUGUCGUGAGAUGUUGGGUUAAGUCCCGCAACGAGCGCAACCCUUGAUCUUAGUUGCCAGCAUUCAGUUGGGCACUCUAAGGUGACUGCCGGUGACAAACCGGAGGAAGUGGGGAUGACGUCAAAUCAUCAUGCCCCUUAUGACCUGGGCUACACACGUGCUACAAUGGAUGGUACAAAGAGCAGCGAACCCGCGAGGGUAAGCCAAUCUCAUAAAGCCAUUCUCAGUUCGGAUUGUAGG